CAGCCAUGUAGUGAGCACAAAACGAACUAUUCUUUCGCCUUUUACUAAAGAAUACCGUGUGCUCGCUACUUUCAAGUGGCAUACGCCUAUUUUUGGAGAGCCUCUUCAAUAAUUGAAGAGC
rnacentral:snRNA from 1 species